rnacentral:lncRNA from 1 species
GAACUUAGAAACUAACUCUUUCAUUCAUUAAAGGAAGAGAAAACUGAAUCUCAUAGAAGCUAAACAAGUUGCUCAAAGGCACACUGGUUAGUAAUUGGCAUAAGAUGGAACAUGACUUGCUAAUCUAGUGGUCUCUUUACUCAUCACAUUACCUUUCAAGUAAAGGGGGAAAACAUAAUAAUACCAUGUAUCUUCCCUACUUACACUAUUUCAAGUUUUUUUUUAAUCUUUUUUGGGGCUCUACUCACAGCAUAUGUAGGUUCCCAGGCUAGGGGUCGAAUCGGAGCUGUAGCCACCGGCCUACGCCAGAGCCACAGCAACGCGGGAUCCGAGCCGCGUCUGCAGCCUACACCACAGCUCACGGCAACGCCGGAUCGUUAACCCACUGAGGAAGGACAGGGACCGAACCCGCAACCUCAUGGGUCCUAGUCGGAUUCGUUAACCACUGCCCCACGAUGGGAACUCCUAUCAUGUCUUUUUAUUAAAAGCUGGUGAACAGUAAGUAAACUAUUUUCUCGAGUUCUGCAAGUCAUUCUAGCAAAGUAAUUUAACUUAAGGGGGAGUCACAGAAACCUCUGACUUGUAGCUGAUUGGUCAGAAGCACAUGUAACAACCUGUACUUGUGAUUGGCCUUGAAGGGCACAGGGGCAGGCAGUCUUGUGGGACUGACCCCUUAACCUGUAUCUCUAGGUAGAUAGCAUCGGAAUUGGGUUAAAUUGCAGGACACCCAGCUGGUGUCAUGGAAUCAUUUGGUAUGGGGAAAACCCCCACCUAGGUGUCAGAAGUGUUGUUAUUGUGAUAGUAGUGUGAAAGUAAAGGAGAAACCCAGGAGGACUGAAGUUUUUCCUACUAUAGAGCAAUAAUGAAUCUAUCUAAGAAUCUCUUAGUCUCCUUCCCAUUUCCCCUAGUACCAAACUUGAGGCAAAUCCUUUUAUUUCUAGUUAAAAUUUGCAUAUGACAAUCAGGGCUUUUCUUUAUAAUUAUUAUUUUUGGUGUUUUUGUCCUUUUAGGGACGCACCCGCAGCAUAUGGAGGUUCCCAGCCUAGGGGUCUAAUCAGAGCUCAGCAACGCCAGAUCCGAGCCAUGUCUGUGAUCUGCACCACAGCUCACAGCAAUGCUGGAUCCUUAACCCACUGAGCGAGGCCAGGGAUCAAACCCACAACCUCAUGGUUCCUAGUUGGAUUUGCUUCCUCUGCGCCAAGACGGGAACUCCAAUCAGAGCUUUCCUGCUUCUCACCUACUCGUCUACCUCACUUACCUAAUCUCUCCUCGUUGUUAGUUUUACUAUAUUUACCAAGUUGCCAAGAAAUCUGGAAACAUAAAUGAAUACACAUUAAUAGUUUGGUGAUAUUAUAUUUCAAUACACACUAAAGUAGUAGUAUCUUUUUCCAGACUUUAUGGCUACCCUAUAUAUUAAUCAAAGUACAUAGCUAUCAUAUACUACUUUCCAUUAGAACCAUUGUUUAUUCUUAAUUAUGCAAGUAAACAUAAAUUUACCUCCACUAGUGAUAUUGUUGUCUCUUCAGUCAUCGUGGUUAUCUACAGCUUGUUCUCUAGUUUCCUCAGGAAACGUUUUUAUCAAGAAUAUUCUUUUUUUAUGGGAUAUAAGAGGGGAGACAUAAUAGCAGUCUCCAAUAGAGGGAGCCUUAGGUUCCUCACAGGAAAGAAAAUAGAUCAGAAAUUUGUAAUCUAUAGAGAAAUUUUAAAUAGCUUUUGGAGUUCCUGUUGUGGCUCAGUGGAAACAAACCUGACUAAUAUCCAUGACGAUACGGGUUUGAGUGCUGACCUCACUCAGUGGGUUAAGGCUCCGGCGUUGCCAUGAGCUACGGUGCAGUUUGCAGUCGUGGCGUGGAUCUGGCAUUGCUAUGGCUGUGGUGUAGGCCAGCAGCUGCAUCUCCAAUUUGACCCUUAGCCUGGGAACUUCCACAUGUCGCACCUGUGGCCUGAAAGUAAAUAAAUAAAUAAAAAUAAAAUAGCUUCUAUAUUUGCCACAGCCACAUCAGAUCCGAGCCACAUCUGUGACCUACACCACAGCUCACAGCAACGCCAGAUCCUUAACCCACUGAGUGAGGCCAGGGAUUGAACCCGAAACCUCAUGGUUCCUAGUCAGAUUCGUUUCUGCUGAGCCACAAAGGGAACUCUUCUAUUUCUGUUUUUGAAUAUGCACACAAUCUUUGGAAAACUACACACCCAAACAAAAACCUGAUAAUUGACAGAAGGGAGGUCAUUACCUAAUAUUUAAAAGACCAUCAGUUUCAGAGAAAAAAAAAAGAAAACCUUUACCUUCUCCGGGCUCUCCACUUAAACUGACCAGUCUUCUUUUUGUUCUUCCCAUUUCCUAUUAUACUACUAAGACUCUUACUAGGUUUCAAGAAAGGUACAAGCCCAGGUUACCUCAGGAUGGUGACUGUCAACUAGGAAGCACACCGUGUAGGCUGACUUGCAGAGAAUUAAGAAUGAAACACGGCAGAGGAAAAAAGAGAUUGGGGGGGGGAUCACUUCCUGAUCAUGUUCUAUCCUCCAGAUUCUAGUGCCCUUUGAGGCCCAACCUAUACUUCCUACUUUUGGAAUCUGUUAUAAAUGUCCUGUGACUUUAUAAUAAAUUUCCCCCUUUUCUGUUUCGAGUAACCUGUAUAGGUACUUCUUUUUACUGCGCAGUCUUGAGCCAAUAAUAAUGCUAAAAUCACUGACUACUCACUAUGCAUCAGGGUGCCUAGUAGUAGGCCCUACUCGGCAUAUUACAUAUAUUUAAUGCUCAAAAUUAAGAUUAUCCUUAUUUUGCACCAUAGGGGUACUCAGACCCAGAAAGAUCAAGUAACUUGUCCAAGUUCACACAUUUAGGCAGAACCAGAAUUUAAUCCUGGUGCUCUGACUCCAGCACUCAAGUUGGUAGUUGCCCUCAGUCAGGUAGUUUAUGCCCUUCCAUAGACACAAAGUAAACUUGGAGUCCAAUGGCAGAUGAUCUCAAUCCAAAUAAAAGAUUUCCUAUUGGUCUAAUUUCAGUCAUGAGAAAACUAAGGCAAAUGAUAAAAAUAAGUAUCCAGAUCCUUAACCCACCAAGCAAGGCCAGGGAUCGAACCCACAACCUCAUGGUUCCUAACCAGAUUCGUUUCCUCUGCACCACAAUGGGAACUCCCUGAACGUUAUUUUUUUCUUUUUUCCUUUACUUUUUAGGGCUUCACUUGCAGCAUAUGGAGGUUCCCAGGCUAGGGGUCGAACUGAAGCCGCAGCUGCCAGCCUACGUCACAGCCACAGCAAUGCUAGAUCCGAGCCUUGUCUGCCACCUACACCACAGCUUGCAGCAACGCCAGAUCCUUAACCUACCUACCGAGUGAGGCCAGGGAUAGAACCCGCAUCCUCAUGGAUACUAGUUGGGUUCUUAAUCCACUAAGCUGAAACAGAAACUCUGGAACCUUAGAUUUUAAAGAGACAAAUAACCUAAAACAGUCACUUCUCCCCCGAGAACAAUGAGUUAGAGGAUUCAGAAAUAGACCCAAAUAUAUUAGGGAAUAUAACAAAGGUGGCAAUUCAAGUUGGUGGGGAAAAGAUGGCUUAUUCAAUAAAUGAUGCCAAGAUAACUAGUUAGGUAUCUGGAGACGAACCUAAAUUUAGUCACCAAAAUAAUUCCAACAGAACAAAACCAGGAGUUCCUGACAUGGUGCAAUAGGUUAGGAGUCUGACUGCAGUGGCUCGAGUCACUACAGAGGCAUGGGUUUGAUCCCUGGCCUAGUGCAGUGGGUUAAAGGAUCUGGCAUAGGUUGCAGCUGCAACUGGAUUCAAUCCCUAGCCUGGGAACUUCCACGUGGCAAGUAUGGCCAUAAAAUUUUUAAAAAACAAUCCCCCACUAAAACCAUGGGUGAAUUAUUUUCUAAAUAUUGGAAGUUAUGAAAAGCCAUUCAAGGCAUAAGAUACACAAACACUGAGAGAAAUAAUAAAUUUGACUACAUAAAGGUUAAAAACAUGUCCAUGCCCCCCACCCCCCAAAAAGCUACAAACAAGUGAACAAAAAAAAGACCCCUACAGGAGUUCCCGCUAUGGCGCAACAGGAAGCAUGAUGUCUCUGCUGCACCAGGAUGCGGGUUUGAUCCCUAGCCCAAUACAGUGGGUUAGAAGAUCUGGUGUUACUGCACUACAUCGUGGGUCACAACUGUGGCUUGGAUCUGAUCCCUGGCCCAGGAACUCCAUGUGCCGCGGGG